rnacentral:rRNA from 1 species
AUACGUAGGGGGCGAGCGUUGUCCGGAAUGAUUGGGCGUAAAGGGCGCGUAGGCGGCCCGGUAAGUCUGGAGUGAAAGUCCUGUUUUCAAGAUGGGAAUUGCUUUGGAUACUGAUGGGCUUGAGUGCAGGAGAGGUUAUCGGAAUUCCCGGUGUAGCGGUGAAAUGCGUAGAGAUCGGGAGGAACACCAGUGGCGAAGGCGGGUAACUGGACUGCAACUGACGCUGAGGCGCGAAAGUGUGGGGAGCAAACAGGAUUAGAUACCCUGGUAGUCCACACUGUAAACGAUGAAUGCUAGGUGUAGGGGGUAUCGACCCCUUCUGUGCCGCAGUCAACACAAUAAGCAUUCCGCCUGGGGAGUACGGCCGCAAGGUUGAAACUCAAAUGAAUUGACGGGG